GACGAGUCCCGAAUAGGACGAAACGCGCGUCCUGGAU
rnacentral:hammerhead_ribozyme from 1 species